GGACCAUCACGGACGCCGAGCUUCGGGUAACUCUCACAGUGGAAGGUAAGCCCGUCCCCUUCUUAAUCAAUACGGAGGCUACCCACUCCACAUUACCUUCUUUUCAAGGGCCUGUUUCCCUUGCCUCCAUAACUGUUGUGGGUAUUGACGGCCAGGCUUCUAAACCUCUUAAAGCUCCCCAACUCUGGUGCCAACUUAGACAAUACUCUUUUAAGCACUCCUUUUUAGUUAUCCCCACCUGCCCAGUUCCCUUAUUAGGCUGAGACACUUUAACUAAAUUAUCUGCUUUCCUGACUAUUCCUGGACCACAGCUAUAUCUCAUUGCCGCCCUUCUUCCCAAUCCAAAGCCUCCUUUGUGUCCUCCUCUUGUAUCCCCCGACCUUAACCCACAAGUAUAAGAUACCUCUACUCCCUCCUUGGUGACCGAUCAUGCACCCCUUACCAUCUCAUUAAAACCUAAUCACCCUUACCCCACUCAACGCCAAUAUCCCAUCCCGCAGCACGCUUUAAAAAGAUUAAAGUCUGUUAUCACUCGCCUGCUACAGCAUGGCCUUUUAAAGCCUAUAAACUCUCCUUACAAUUCCCCCAUUUUACCUGUCCUAAAACCAGACAAGCCUUACAAGUUAGUUCAGGAUCUCUGCCUUAUCAACCAAAUUGUUUUGCCUAUCCACCCCGUGGUGCCAAACCCAUAUACUCUCCUAUCCUCAAUACCUGCCUCUACAACCCAUUAUUCUGUUCUAGAUCUGAAACAUGCUUUCUUUACUAUUCCUUUGCACCCUUAAUCCCAGCCUCUCUUCGCUUUCACUUGGACUGACCCUGACACCCAUCAAGCUCAGCAAAUUACCUAGGCUGUACUGCCACAAAGCUUCACAGGCAGCCCCCAUUACUUCAAUCAAGCCCAAAUUUCUUCCUCAUCUGUUACCUAUCUCGGCAUAAUUCUCAUAAAAACACACGUGCUCUCCCUGCCAAUCGUGUCCGACUGAUCUCUCAAACCCCAGCACCUUCUACAAAACAACAACUCCUUUCCUUCCUAGGCAUGGUUAGCGCGGUCAGAAUUCUUACACAAGAGCCAGGACCACACCCUGUAGCCUUUCUGUCCAAACAACUUGACCUUACUGUUUUAGCCUAGCUCUCAUGUUUGCGUGCAGUGGCUGCUGCUGCUUUAAUACUUUUAGAGGCCCUCAAAAUCACAAACUAUGCUCAACUCACUCUUUACAGUUCUCAUAACUUCCAAAAUCUGUUUUCUUCCUCACACCUGACGCAUAUACUUUCUGCUUCCUGGCUCCUUCAGCUAUACUCACUCUUUGUUGAGUCUCCCACAAUUACCAUUGUUCCUGGCCCGGACUUCAAUCAAUCCAGCCUCCCAUAUUAUUCCUGAUACCACACCUGACCCCCAUGACUGUAUGUCUCUGAUCCACCUGACAUUCACCCCAUUUCCCCAAAUUUCCUUCUUUCCUGUUCCUCACCCAGAUCACACUUGAUUUAUUGAUGGCGGUUCCACCAGGCCUAAUCGCCACACACCAGCAAAGGCAGGUUAUGCUAUAGUACAAGCCACUAGCCCACCUCUUAGAACCUCUCAACAACAUGCCCGAGUCAGGAAACUAAAAUACCUCUUAAUCUAAAUAGACACUUUCACUGAAUAAGUAAAGGCCUUUCCUACAGGGUCUGAGAAGGCCACCGCAGUCAUUUCUUCCCUUCUGUCAGACAUAAUUCCUCAAUUUAGCCUUCCCACCUCAAUAUAGUCUGAUAACAGACGAGCCUUUAUUAGUCAAAUCAGCCAAGCAGUUUUUCAGGCUCUUAGUAUUCAGUGAAACCUUUAUAUCCCUUAUGGUCCUCCGUCUUCAAGAAAAGUAGAAUGGACUAAAGGUCUUUUAAAAACACACCUCACCAAGCUCAGCCACCAAUUUAAAAAGGACUGGACAAUAGUUUUACCAGUUUCCCUUCUCAGAAUACAGCCCAUUUAAGCUCCUGUAUAGACGCUCCUUUUUAUUAGGCCCCAGUCUCAUUCCAGACACCAGACGACCAACUUAGACUGUGCCCCCCACCAAAAAAAACUUGUCAUCCCUACUAUUUUCUGUCUAGUCAUACUCCUAUUCACCGUUCUCAACUACUCAUACAUGCCCUGCUCUUGUUUACACUGCCGGUUUACACUGUUUUUCCAAGCCAUCACAGCUGAUAUCUCCUGGUGCUAUCCCCAAACUGCCACUCUUAACUCUUGAAGUAAAUAAAUAAUCUUUGCUGGCAGGACUAUGCCGAAUCUCCUUAAGCACUCUCUAAUCAGACAUCCUGAGUCGUCCCAAUUCUUAGACCUUUUAUACCUGUUUUUCUCCUUCUGUUAUUCCAUUUAGUUUUUACAAUUCAUACAAAACCGUAUCCAGGCCAUCACCAAUCAUUCUAUACGACAAAUGUUUCUUCUAACAUCCCCACAAUAUCACCCCUUACCACAAGACCUGCCUCCAGCUUAAUCUCUCCCACUCUAGGUUCCCACACCGCCCCUAAUCCCGCUUGAAGCAGCCCUGAGAAACAUCGCCCAUUCUCUCUCCAUACCAUCCCCCAAAAUUUUCCCAACACUUUACCAUUAUUUUGUUUUAUUUUUCUUAUUAAUAUAAGAAGGCAGGAAUGUCAGGCCUCUGAGCCCAAGCCAAGCCAUCGCAUCCCCUGUGACUUGCACAUAUAUGCCCAGAUGGCCUGAAGUAACUGAAGAAUCACAAAAGAAGUGAAUAUGCCCUGCCCCGCCUUAACUGAUGACAUUCCACCAAAAAAGAAGUGUAAAUGGCCGGUCCUUGCCUUAACUGAUGACAUUACCUUGUGAAAGUCCUUUUCCUGGCUCAUCCUGGCUCAAAAAGCACCCCCACUGGGCACCUUGCGACCCCCACUCCUGCCCGCCAGAGAACAAACCCCCUUUGACUGUAAUUUUCCUUUACCUACCCAAAUCCUAUAAAACAGCCCCACCCUUAUCUCCCUUCUCUGACUCUUUUUUCAGACUCAGCCCGCCUGCACCCAGGUGAAAUAAACAGCCAUGUUGCUCACACAAAGCCUGUUUGGUGGUCUCUUCACACGGACGCGCAUGACAACCCCACCACCCCAAGGACAGGGACUGUAAACUCCCAACGGGGUAACCUUGCCUGCUGCCUAGAUGGAGCUGAUUUAUCAAGAUAGGGGAAUUGCAACAGAGAAAGACUUUAAUUCAUGCAGAGCCAGCUGUAUGGGAGACAGGAGUUUUAUCAUUCCUCAAAUCAGGAUAAUUUAGUAGCUUUAUCACCAAUGCGAUGACCAUGUAGACACCCAGAAAACUGUGGCGCACCUGCAUAUCAUCUUAGCCACUCAAGAGGCUCUUCCAAGUUUAGCCUCUUAAAGUUUGAAAAUUCUGCAUCAUCAGGAACUGAGUCGUUUCAGAAGUUAACCUGUAUCACAGAAUCCCAGAAAGAAGAAAAGACGGAUCAGUGGUUGAAGAAGCGCUCAUGGAUAUGCACAGAGACAAAGUGUAUAAUGAGCAAGUAUCCCAGGGUUCUUUGCCUCGUGACCAAGAAAAUUAAGGAGCGUGGACACAAAGGGUGAGGUUGGAAUGAAUGUUUAAUAAGCAAAAGAAGAAAGCUCCCAACCAAGGAGAGAGGGCCCAAAACAGGGUUGCCAACUAUGAGGCUGAGUCCAGGGUAUGAAUGGACUGGGAAGGGGAGGAAUGUGCUGACUGGUCUGCAGGCUGUUUUGGAGAAAGCACCACUUAGAAAGAGGUAUCAUAGUGUAAAGAACCAAUUGGAGGCAAAGGCGAAGGUUUGGCUUGGGACCUUGGCCUGGGACCAAUCAGAGGCUGAAGUGAUGACUCAACCUAUGUAAAUGAAGACUUAGCCCACUGCCAAUUACAGAAAGGUAGGCAUAUGUAAAAUAGGUGAAAAGUAAGAAACCAGUAGGUGAAAAUAAGUGACUAAGGCAUGCCAAGGAGAGAGAAACAUGUCCAAAUAGGGGUAGAAUUUGUUCAUCUGGGUUUACCGAGUAAGUGUUUCCAUUCAAGGAUGCAGUCUCUUUCUUAUCUGGGGCCCGCAGUUUGAUUUUCAGGCUGUUCUUUGUUUGAAUGAAUUUUUACCAGGGACUCACCCUAACUGCCUGCCUGACUGGUUUCUUACUUUCUCCUCUCUCAUUAAGAGAGUUUAGGACCCUACAAAUAUUUCCCAAAUAACCAUUUAUAAAGGAAUAGAGACAUUGUGCAUUUGCUUUUCCCCGGCUAUAAGAAGGUAGUUAAGGCAAGACACUGGUACUUAGACAAAAGAGAGAGAGAAGAGGAGAAAGGGGAAGAAGA
rnacentral:lncRNA from 10 species